rnacentral:rRNA from 1 species
GACGAACGCUGGCGGCGUGCUUAACACAUGCAAGUCGAACGGAAAAGCCCUGCUCUCAGGGUACUCGGAUGGCGAACGGAUGGGUAACUAGUGGGUGGGGUGCCCGGCUCUUCGGGAUGAGCCUGGGAAACUAGGUAUAAUUACGGACAGGUAAAAUCUUUAAAGAGAUGGUUGGAAAUUUUAGUCGGUAUAGGAUGAGCUCGCGGCCUAUCAGCUGGUUGGUGGGGUAAUGGCAUACCAAGACGGCGACGGGUAGCCGGCCUUAGAGGGUGGACGCCCCCAAUGGGCCUGAGAGAGGGCCCAGACUCCUACGGGAGGCAGCAGUGGGGAGUAUUGCACAACAGCCGCACGCGUGAGACGGAGGUGCUGGGUGGGGGAUGAUGGGUUUCUGGUUGUAAACGUUGUUCGCUAGGGACGACGCAUUAAGUGACGGUACCUAGCUAGGAAGAACCGGCUAACUACGUG